GACGAACGCUGGCGGCGUGCUUAACACAUGCAAGUCGAACGGUGAAGCGGGGUUUACCCCGCCGAUCAGUGGCGAACGGGUGAGUAACACGUGGGCAACCUGCCCCUCACUUCGGGAUAACCCCAGGAAACCGGGGCUAAUACCGGAUACACCUCCAACCAGGCAUCUGGACAGAGGGAAAGAGUUCUCGGUGAGGGAUGGGCCCGCGGCCUAUCAGUUAGAUGGUGGAGUAACAGCCCACCAUGACGAUGACGGGUAGCCGACCUGAGAGGGUGACCGGCCACACUGGGACUGAGACACGGCCCAGACUCCUACGGGAGGCAGCAGUGGGGAAUAUUGCACAAUGGGCGCAAGCCUGAUGCAGCAACGCCGCGUGAGGGAUGACGGCCUUCGGGUUGUAAACCUCUUUUAGUAGGGAAGAAGCGAAAGUGACGGUACCUGCAGAAAAAGCACCGGCUAACUACGUGCCAGCCGCCGCCGUAA
rnacentral:rRNA from 1 species